rnacentral:rRNA from 1 species
AUUGAACGCUGGCGGCAUGCCUUACACAUGCAAGUCGAACGGCAGCACGGGUGCUUGCACCUGGUGGCGAGUGGCGAACGGGUGAGUAAUACAUCGGAACGUACCUUAUCGUGGGGGAUAACGCAGCGAAAGCUGUGCUAAUACCGCAUACGCCCUGAGGGGGAAAGCGGGGGAUCGCAAGCCCUCGCGCGAUUAGAGCGGCCGAUGCCUGAUUAGCUUGUUGGUGGGGUAAAAGCCCACCAAGGCGACGAUCAAUAGCUGGUCUGAGAGGACGAUCAGCCACACUGGGACUGAGACACGGCCCAGACUCCUACGGGAGGCAGCAGUGGGGAAUUUUGGACAAUGGGGGCAACCCUGAUCCAGCAAUGCCGCGUGAGUGAAGAAGGCCUUCGGAUUGUAAAGCUCUUUUGUCAGGGAAGAAACACCGGCUCUAACACAGUCCGGGAAUGACGGUACCUGAAGAAUAAGCACCGGCUAACUACGUGCCAGCCGCCGCGGUAA